rnacentral:rRNA from 1 species
AUGAGUAGUGAUCUUGAGGAGUGGCCGUUCUAUGCGGAUGAUGUUGACGUCGCCACAGAAAAAUUAUUCGAUGUUAUUCAGUUGGGUUACUGGAGGGUCAUAUGUUUUGAUGGUUGGAAUGGAUUUGGAGCAUCCGCUGUUCUUACAUCAGUAGCUGCAGUGCUUCCAUCUAGGAGAACCACUCCGGAACUAUGCUUUGACAAAAUAAUCUUUGUAGAUUGCUCAAAGUGGAAAAAUAGAAGAGGAGUGCAGAGGGCAAUUGCAGAGGAAUUGCAACUUGAUCGCUCUGUAAUGACUAUUUUAGAUAAGCAAGAUGAAGAUGACGAUUUUCAGGGACAUGAUGAAAGCCUGAGGCAUGAGAUAUAUAGUGUUAGUCAAGUGAUUGAUCGAACCCUGAGGGAUGUCAAAUUUAUGAUGAUUUUUCUUAAUGGGAGUGAUGACGAGGUUGAUGUAGGUCUCAUGGGUAUUCCUCUAACAAGAUAUGGCAACAACGUGAUGUUAUGGACCUUCAGCAGAAGCUGUCUGACCAUGCACCAGGACCGUUCUGAGGUAGCAAAAAAGCUAAGAUAUACUCAGGUUUUCUGUCAUUGCUCUAUCGAAGACUUGAGAAGCUUUCAGUUUCUUGGACUGCUACAUCAAGAAGCUGCUACCGUAGUUCCUUGCAAUACAUGUAUUCUGGACAUUGACCAAGCAAUUAUUGGAGGUUGUUGUCUUUAUGAGUUAUUCCUGCACUAUAAUUUCCACAAUGUCAGUAAAUUUGGUUGGGUAUCUCAUGCUUCCAACUAUUGGAUAUGCGAUGCAAUCAUACAAGGGGACAAAGCAAGGGAUAUUAGUAAUGCAUUGUAUCGAGAGAUAAAUUGGAAGUGUGAUGCUUCUCUGCUUCAGGAUGUUCUUACAAAGUCUAUGAAACAAUUGGAGCCUCGUUUUCUAGUAAUCAAAGAUGAUGAUGUCUAUGAAGAAGGCCCAUACCGUUGGAUUUCGGUCACGUCAAGAGAUGCAGAAGUACAUGCUAUGAAAACAAUACCUGCAACGGCAUCAUCUUUCUUCUUGGCAUUUGAAAUAUCCAAACACCCAACAGCUUUACCAGAUGGAUUUUUUGAUCAUUGCAGCAAGCUCGGUGUGCUGGUUCUCUAUUGUUGUUCCUUUAGUUUUGCUUCACCUUCUUUCCUGAAGUGUCGUAGCCUAAGAUUCCUUGGACUGGACCACUGUACAGAUGACGAAACUAUUGGAAGAGAGAAUCAUGCAGUUUGGUUAUGUCUGAAUAGCUUGUGGGUGUUGGACCUGCGUUACACCGAUUGGAAUGAAAUCUUAUCCAAGGAAAUGUUAAACCUCAUGAAAAAUAUCAGAGAGUUAAAUAUAGAGGGAGUCAGGGGCUGGCAAUACACCGCUGAGCUACAAGGGCGGUUACCUAACCUCCAGAGGCUCCGAAUAAUCAAACCGACAUGUCAAUGGAAGACCUCAGAGGAUGUCGAUAACUACUUCAUGGAUAAGAAAAGUAUGGAAAUACUUGACUUGUCUGGCAAUUGUGACAUGAAGAUUCUUCCAACAAGCUUAUCAAAGGCAGGUAGCCUCCGGAUGCUUGUACUUGAUGGUUGUGAUGAACUGGAAAGCGUUGGUGGGCUUCCUCCUUCCCUCGAAUCCUUUAGCUUUAAUGGGUAUGGGGCAGCUGCUCAAUGGACACAAACUGUUGAGCUACCUCUGGAACAAUUUCGUCCAUCCAGGACAACAGAUAAUAAGGAUGUCAGAAUAUCCAAGAUCUCCUUAGCAGGCUGCACACAGUUGGAGAAUUUGUACUUGUGUGGGCUACCCAACCUAGUGGAACUGGACCUCUCUGGAACACCAAUCAAGAUACUUGACUUCAAGACCAUGGUGGUGCAAACCCCAAAGCUCAAGCGACUGUUUCUAAUAGGAUGCAAGCACCUUCGUGCAAUAAAAAUUCUGUACGAGAGUGUUCCUGACCUGAAGUUAAUGUGCGUAGACACGCGACCUGGAGUCGUGUGUCCUCGACCAUCCAUCAAACCCACCAGGUUGCAGGUGCAUGCUGUUGUUGUAGAUGCAAGACUUACUCACUCCUUGUGGAAUCUGAUCUCUAGUUAUAGACAAGAUGAUGCUCAUUUUAAUAUCCACGUCACCUCCUCACCUGAUGGGAUUAUUCAAUAUGAAAUAACCAGCAAGGAUAUGAUUGGCACCAGUGAUCAAGAGAGUCUACAUCUUAUUCCAAAAGACCAGUAUGGUGAAGUCCUUGGGAUGGUUGGCGCUGCCCCAAUGCAGGCCUUUCCACAACCUCCGAGUACAAAGUCUAAUCGACAUGUAGAGAUUGCUGAAGGGAGCUUCGACGUGGAGACGAAACUUGGCAGAGCACUAGGUCUAGGCCACCUAAUGGAACAUUAUGUGGAAUCCCUGCAUGUGCAUGAUGUCUCGGUACGUACUAUUGCACCACAAGGCCAUUGGUGGGGCAAGCUUAGGUGGUGUUGCAUGGAGAGGUGCCCAAAAGUGGAUACCGUUUUCCCUGGGAAUUCAUUCACAUUUACUGCAUUGGAGACCUUGUGGGUGUCAGAUCUCCUGAUGGCCCGCUCGAUUUUGAGUAAAGGUUCGCGCUUUUAUCCAUAUGGCGAUAUCAAAUCCUUUCAAAAUUUACAGCACCUUCAGCUGCGUUCAUGCCCCAGCCUCCAGUUUGUGCUCCCUCUGUGGGUCUCCUCCUUCCCCAGCUUGGAGACCCUCCACAUCAUCCACUGCGGCAACCUCAGCCACAUCUUCAUACUGGACGAAGAAUACCGUGAAGAAAUAACUACCCGCGGUGUACAAUUCCCAAAGCUUACCACCAUCCAACUGCACGACCUCCCAAAUCUGCAGCAAAUAUGCGAGGUCAAGAUGGUUGCCCCUGCGCUCAAGAGCAUCAAGAUCAGGGGAUGCUGGAGCCUGCGCCGGCUGCCAUCCGUGGGCGCACGUGGCAAUGGCAAGAAGAAGCCGGCCAUUGAGAUCGAGAAGGACGUGUGGGAUGCCUUGGAGUGGGACGCCCGCCACCGCCCUGCCCACUUCGAAGCGCCGGUCCACUCGUGCUACUACAAGGAGAAGCUGCCCAGGGUCUCCGUCCUCAGGUGA